rnacentral:rRNA from 1 species
GAUGAACGCUAGCUACAGGCUUAACACAUGCAAGUCGCGGGGCAGCAUGGGGGUUGCUUGCAACCCCUGAUGGCGACCGGCGCACGGGUGAGUAACGCGUAUCCAACCUGCCCUUCACCACGGGAUAACCCGGCGAAAGUCGGACUAAUACCGUAUGUUGUCCAUUGACGGCAUCCGAUUUGGACGAAAGGCUUAGCGGUGAGGGAUGGGGAUGCGUCCGACUAGCUUGACGGCGGGGUAACGGCCCACCGUGGCAACGAUCGGUAGGGGUUCUGAGAGGAAGGUCCCCCACACUGGAACUGAGACACGGUCCAGACUCCUACGGGAGGCAGCAGUGAGGAAUAUUGGUCAAUGGGCGGAAGCCUGAACCAGCCAAGUAGCGUGCAGGAUGACGGCCCUAUGGGUUGUAAACUGCUUUUAUGCGGGGAUAAAAGAAUUCACGUGUGGAUUUUUGCAGGUACCGCAUGAAUAAGGACCGGCUAAUUCCGUGCCAGCAGCCGCGGUAAUACGGAAGGUCCGGGCGUUAUCCGGAUUUAUUGGGUUUAAAGGGAGCGUAGGCCGCCCCUUAAGCGUGUUGUGAAAUGCGGGUGCUCAACAUCCGACUUGCAGCGCGAACUGGGGGGCUUGAGUGCGCCGAAAGUAGGCGGAAUUCGUGGUGUAGCGGUGAAAUGCUUAGAUAUCACGAAGAACUCCGAUUGCGAAGGCAGCUUACUGUAGCGCAACUGACGCUGAUGCUCGAAAGCGUGGGUAUCGAACAGG